CAUAUCAAUAAGCGGAGGAAAAGAAACCAACAGGGAUUGCUCUAGUAACGGCGAGUGAAGCAGCAAUAGCUCAAAUUUGAAAUCUGGCGUCUUCGACGUCCGAGUUGUAAUUUGUAGAGGAUGCUUCUGAGUAACCACCGACCUAAGUUCCUUGGAACAGGACGUCAUAGAGGGUGAGAAUCCCGUAUGCGGUCGGAAAGGUGCUCUAUACGUAGCUCCUUCGACGAGUCGAGUUGUUUGGGAAUGCAGCUCUAAAUGGGAGGUAAAUUUCUUCUAAAGCUAAAUAUUGGCCAGAGACCGAUAGCGCACAAGUAGAGUGAUCGAAAGAUGAAAAGCACUUUGGAAAGAGAGUUAAAAAGCACGUGAAAUUGUUAAAAGGGAAGGGAUUGCAACCAGACUUGCUCGCGGUGUUCCGCCGGUCUUCUGACCGGUCUACUCGCCGCGUUGCAGGCCAGCAUCGUCUGGUGCCGCUGGAUAAGACUUGAGGAAUGUAGCUCCCUCGGGAGUGUUAUAGCCUCUUGUGAUGCAGCGAGCGCCGGGCGAGGUCCGCGCUUCGGCUAGGAUGCUGGCGUAAUGGUCGUAAUCCGCCCGUCUUGAAACACGGACCAAGGAGUCUAACAUCUAUGCGAGUGUUCGGGUGUCAAACCCCUACGCGUAAUGAAAGUGAACGGAGGUGAGAACCGCAAGGUGCAUCAUCGACCGAUCCUGAUGUCUUCGGAUGGAUUUGAGUAAGAGCAUAGCUGUUGGGACCCGAAAGAUGGUGAACUAUGCCUGAAUAGGGUGAAGCCAGAGGAAACUCUGGUGGAGGCUCGCAGCGGUUCUGACGUGCAAAUCGAUCGUCAAAUUUGGGUAUAGGGGCGAAAGACUAAUCGAACCAUCUAGUAGCUGGUUCCUGC
rnacentral:rRNA from 1 species